AGCGAACGCUGGCGGCAGGCCUAACACAUGCAAGUCGAACGAACCUUUCGGGGUUAGUGGCGGACGGGUGAGUACCACGUGGGAACGUGCCUUUAGGUUCGGAAUAACUCAGGGAAACUUGUGCUAAUACCGAAUGUGCCCUUCGGGGGAAAGAUUAAUCGCCUUUAGAGCGGCCCGCGUCUGAUUAGCUAGUUGGUUGAGGUAAUGGCUCACCACGGCGACGAUCAGUAGCUGGUCGGAGAGGAUGAUCAGCCACAUUGGGACUGAGACACGGCCCAAACUCCUACGGGAGGCAGCAGUGGGGAAUCUUGCGCAAUGGGCGAAAGCCUGACGCAGCCAUGCCGCGUGAAUGAUGAAGGUCUUAGGAUUGUAAAAUUCUUUCACCGGGGACGAUAAUGACGGUACCCGGAGAAGAAGCCCCGGCUAACUUCGUG
rnacentral:rRNA from 1 species